ensembl:lincRNA A330033J07Rik RIKEN cDNA A330033J07 gene
AGUGGAUCACCAAGCCCAGCAGGCGGCUCUCGGUGGAGACGGGAGAAGCGGCUGUCAUUCCCUGAGAGGAGCAAGACCACCCGUAUCUCGCCGCCCCGCCACCUUUCCCGCGAUGCCCAGGGUGCCCCGCCAAGGCUUCUCACCGGGUCAGUGUUGAGCGCGGUGAGUGGGGUCCGCGGCGGCGCGACCGGACAAGCCCCGGCCGGGUGGAGAGGUGGCGCGGGCGGUGGCGGCUGUCUCAGCAAAGCAGGGGUUUCUUUUUAAAAGUCUACAUCUUUGUAAGACUUGCCAUGUUGAAGACAAAUGUCAAAGAGACUUGAUAUGAAAUCUGAAUGUUGCGGUGUGUAUAUCACCAAUGGAUCCCAAAUAUCCCUCACCUGUGAGAGUUUACUGUCCGUGGCCAAGCGACUUUCACAAGAUGAACAUUCAGGAACAGUGCUUCACAGCCGAAAUACACGAGCUCUUCCAGAUUUUAGUCUACACUCUUCAAACAGUAGCAGCCCAGGAGUCUAACAUGUUCCCUUUUCCAUCUGAAAAGAAACUGAGUCUUCUUACUUACAACUACUGAUGUCAUAUAUUCUUGAUCUCUGUGUAUUUUUCUGUCUUGUCUCUAACAAUUAUUUCUUAUAAGCAUGAUUGGCCUCCAGGUUAAUUUCAGGGGGGGGGAAGCUUGUAGUGGGGUUGAGUGAUAUUUUCUGCAUUAACACUAAAGAUUAAAUGUGUGUGUGUGUCUAUGUUUGAGAACAUGUGUGUGCAUGUGUGUGCAUACAUGUGUAUGUGUGUGUUUGCACAUGAAGGCCAGAAGACUACCUCCCUUGUAAUUUUCAAACCACAAUUCACUUCUUUGGAGACAGGCUCUCUCAUUGCCUUGAAGUCUCCCAAUUAGGAUAAGCUGGCUGGCCAGCAAGCCCCAAGGGUCCCAGUCUCUUCCUCCCCAGUACUGGAAUUCCAAGCACACACCAACAUGCCUGGCAUUUCUACGUGGGUUUGAAUUUAGCUCAUCAUGCUUGUAAGAUGGACAUGUUAUCAAGUCAUCUAGCUCCAAGCCCAGAAUAUUAGUUGUUUAUUUGCUUUAAAUGCUAAGACAAACCCCAUGGAAUUGGAGAUCCCUACCAAAAAUUUGCUUCCUAAACAAAUUAAGUAAACAAUACUUUGCAGUUUUUAUCAUUAGUCCAAGAAAGCAUUCUUUUUCUCCCUCUUGACUUUUCCCUUGUUAAUUCAAUGAUUAGGUAUGGAGCACUGUUUAAAAGUAGGGUUUGUGUUCUGGCUUCUGAGCUUGUGAGAAUGCCUCAAUUCUUGAACGAAGUUUUGGGUUCAGGUGUCCUGAGCCCUUUCAGAACCCUUAAGACUUUGAAGGAGAUGUUUUCCUGUCUAGGCCAUGACUUUCUUUUUCUUUUUUUCUUUUUUCUUCCCUUCUUCCUUUGCUCCCUCCUUACACUCCUCUUUUUUAAGAGAAACUUUAAGAACAGUUUUCAAUUUACAGAGACAUUAGAAAGGGAAGAGAUUCCAUACACUCUAUACCUACGUGGCUCUGAUUGCCAACGUCAUUCUUUAGUGUGGUAUAUGUAAUUAGUAUCAAGGAGUUAACAUUAUUAGGAGCUGAAGUCUCUGCUUCAGUCAGACUCCCUUAGCUUCCCCCUAAUGUCCUUGCUCUGUCCCAGAGUCCCAUCUAGAAGCCCACAUUACAUUUAGUCUUCAUCUCUCCUUAACAUUCCUCUUACCUUAUGCCUUUCUCCAGAUUUCCCUUGGCAGUAUGAAAGAGUUUGGUUCUCCCUGAAAAAUAAACAGAAAUAAAGAACUUG